AAUGAACGUUGGCGGCAUGGAUUAGGCAUGCAAGUCGGGGGAAUCCCAGCAAUGGGGGAACCGGCGUAAGGGGCAGUAAGGCAUGGGUACCUACCUUGGGGUUCGGGAUAGCCAUCAGAGAUGGUGGGUAAUACCGGAUGACGUCGUGAGACCAAAGAUUUAUCGCCCUUAGAGGGGCCCAUGUGAUAUUAGCUAGUUGGCGGGGUAACGGCCCACCAAGGCGAAGAUGUCUAGCGGGUGUGAGAGCACGACCCGCGCCACUCGCACUGAGACACUGGCGAGACACCUACGGGUGGCUGAAGUCGAGGAUCUUCGGCAAUGGGCGCAAGCUUGACCGAGCGAUGCCGCGUGAGCGAUGAAGGCCUUCGGGUUGUAAAGCUCUUUAGUGGGGGAGAAAAGCCGCAAGGUGUGAUCUAUCCCAAAAAUAAGCACGGGCUAAGUUCGUGCCAGCCGCCGCCGUAA
rnacentral:rRNA from 1 species